CGGCGAUAAAAGCAGCGGUGACUCGCUCCGAUCGGCCGCUGUAGGCACGGUUUUGGCGGGGAAGAGAUGACGGUGACGGAGUCUGAUGAGGGCCGCGAGGCGGGUGAGGAUUACCGUUCGUGGAAGGUGAACACCCCUAUUCUAUACGACCUCGUCAUCUCCCACCCCCUCAGGUGGCCCUCCCUCACAGUCCGAUGGCUCCCGGGCUCGUCGCCGUCUUCCUCCUCCGGAAGCAGCCGCGGCGGCGCCACCCACCGCCUCCUCCUCGGCAGUCACACCUCCGACUACGCUCCUAACUUCUUCAUGACGGCCGACGUGCUUUUCCCCCUCCCUCCCGAGGCCCAUCCCGGCGCGCCGCUCCCCAAGGUCGAGAUCUCGCAGACCAUCCCUCAUCACGGAAAGGUCAAUCGCGCCCGAUUCAUGCCGCAGAGACCAUCGGUUGUAGCCACCAUGACCCAAGACGCGGAGGUUCACGUGUUCGACUGCGAGCGGCGGCCACUGAGGCCGGUCGAGGGGGAGGAGAGUGGUCCGGACGUCGUCUUGAGGGGCCUCUCCAAGGAGGGAUAUGGGAUCUCGUGGAGUCCGCACAAGGAGGGCUUUCUUUUGUGCGGAUCGUAUGAUUCCAAGAUCUGUCUGUGGGAUGUGGGAAUGAUGCCGGAAGAGAAGAUUCUUGAUGCAAGAUACCUGUUUGAGGCCCAUACUGAUUCUGUUGAGGAUGUUGCUUGGCACUUGAAGAAUGAACACAUGUUUGGGUCCGUUGGGAAUGACCAUCUUUUGAUGAUUUGGGACGUUCGCUCAUCGGCAUCUGGAAAGCCACAACAGUCAUUAAAAGCCCAUGAAAAUGAGGUCAAUUCACUAUCAUUUAAUCCGUUUAAUGACUGGAUUUUGGCAACAGCGUCUAAAGACAGUACAGUUAACCUAUUUGACCUUCGGAAGCUCACUACAAGUUUACAUACAUGUUUGAGUCAUGUAGGAUCUGUUGUUCAAGUGGAAUGGAGCCCGAGUCAUGAAACUAUUUUUGCUACCUCUGCUACUGACAAAAGGCUGAUAAUUUGGGACCUUAACCGGUACUUACUUAAGAUUUCAAUGCAAAAGCAUGAAUCAUUCUUUUGGUUAAGGAAUGGAAUUGAUAAAUAAUAGUAUAGAAAUAUGCAUUUCUUAGUUUGACAUAGGAAUGUUAAAAGAAAGUCCUGCUCGAACUCCUCAGACUUCUUGGGCACAAACCGCUCUAUGCGGCAACCCCUCGGCCUGAUCAGACCACCUAGCUCUCCCUGUCAGGCUGUCCUCUUGGCAUUAGAUGGAUGAAUCAAGGAACUGCAAGAACUUGAGACUGCAGUGAAUACAACGCAAUUGAUAACUUUAGUUUUUUGACAUAUGUGGAUAGGAUUGGGGAUGAACAGACUGCCGACGAAGCCGUCUUUGGGCCGCCAGAGGCGUUCUUUGUUCACGCCGGUCACACUGCAAAGAUCUCAGAAUUCUCAUGGAACCCCGA